AAGGCGUCGCCUAGUAUUUCAGCUCGCCCGCCCGCCCGGCUGUCGGUCGGCCGACAAGGCAACCAAGGUCCCUCCAGCCGCUCCCGAAAUCGACAGGGACAGAUGCGACAGUCCAUUUGAAGUGUGGGAGAGCAGAAAACUUGCGUGCGGGACGGUACCAAGCAGAAAUCUGCAGGUCCGACAACAUGAGAACGUCGGAUAGUGCGACCGGUCUAGAAAAGCAGCAGACCUGGUACUUAUGCAAUAACACGCUUCGUUGGCCUAUUCGGUGUACAAGGGAAGAGGAUCACCCACCGAUAAGAAGUAGAUAAGCAUCUGGGUUUUAAGUUUUAACGAAAUAUGUCAAAACGGUCCCUGGACCUGCAAUCAUGCAAGCCAAUCAUGCAAGCCAAGACAGCAUCCCCUGACGGCUCUGACAGCGACCGCUCUAUACAGGACCACAGUGUGCUGCUGGCAGUCUUCGGUGCCGGAACAGGCUGCUUUGCUGAGCAAUCGCCGGACAUCGUUGCGGUGAUGUUAGUAAUCACUUUGUGUCUAACUCGUAUACUUGCUCGAGAAAACCUAAAAAAGGCAACAUUAGCGGGGCACUCGCCAGCUAAUUUUGCCAACGGAUUCAGGCAGCGCGCUGAGCAAGGAACCAACGUGCCAACUCGUGCUUGAAGACCUUUGUACAUUCCACUCAUGGAAGCAGCAUUGUCGUAGGACCGCCAUACCUUCCUUGAUGUUUAUGCCUUGUGCGUCGAAUAAGCUGAUUAAAUCUUCGAACAUGUCCUCAGCA